rnacentral:rRNA from 1 species
GACAGGAGGAUGCAAGUGUUAUCCGGAAUCACUGGGCGUAAAGCGUCUGUAGGUGGUUUAAAAAAGUCUAUUGUUAAAAAUUGAAGCUUAACUUCAAAGAUGCAAUGGAAACUUUUAAACUUGAGUAUGGUAGGGGUAGAGGGAAUUUCCAGUGGAGCGGUGAAAUGCGUAGAUAUUGGAAAGACCACCAAUGGCGAAGGCACUCUACUGGGCCAUUACUGACACUGAGAGACGAAAGCUAGGGGAGCAAAUGGG